CUUUACGACCCAGGCACAAUAUCAAGUUAUCUUGUGGUAUAAUCAAUAGGCUUUCAACCUCAUAUCAAUCCACCUUGAGGCGUACAACUCAGGCCCUCGGCCUCAUAUUCAUAAUAAGUACAACGUUGCUGUGGCGUGCAAUGCGAUCCCAUAAUAAUCCUUACAACACAGGCCCUCGGCUCUAGUCAGUCAGAAAUCUCUAAAAGCCACUCGGGCACAGUAAAAUAUGAUGUUCAACCCAAAAUAUCAUUUAAAGUAUUAAAACAGAGUAAUUAUGGCUAAGUUAUGAAAAGUAUAAUAUAGCAUGAUUAAGUACAAAUAUAAAAUCAAAACAGUGAAAAAAUAACAGUAAAAAUCCCCUAAGGGUCCAAAAAGUUGGCACGAGGGCCAAAUAUGACAUUCAGCCCAAAACAUGAUGAUAACAUAUAGUUUUUAAUCAAAUACUGUAAACAGUUAUUCAAUACGGACCAAGUCAUAGUCCCUCAUGGUGCACGAACCCACACUCGUCAUCUAGCAUGUGCGUCACCUCAUAAUAGCACAACGAUGUGAAGUUUGGGGUUUUAUACCCUCAAGGACAAUAUUUACAAUCAUUACUCACCUCAAUCCGGUCCAAACUCUAAACAGCAAUGCGUUUGCCUCUCGACUCGGCCUCCGAAUGCUCCAAAUCUAACCAACUCAGUAUAUAACCAUCAAAAUAUGCUAAGGGAACUAAGCCCACUCAAAAGAAUUAAAAAUACAAUGCAAAUCCUAAAAUUGGCAAAAACCCGAACCCCGGGGCCCA
rnacentral:lncRNA from 1 species